CACUGUAGAUUUAGAAUACUUUAGAAGAAAACUUUGGGAAGAGAACAUGUUUUAUAAAUUUUAUAAGAAUAUUUUCAAAGUAUUCUAGAUUAUUAUACAUAUUUUGCUGCAAUACUGGACGAAAAUAUAUUAAAAUUACAUUAAAGUUUUUAAUUUUUUAGGUCCCUAAGGUUGACUACAAAUCAAAAUCAGAAUUGAAAUUGGAGUUCCCACUGUGGCACAAUGAGUUUGGUGGUGUCUCUAGAGUGCCAGGAUGAUCCCUGGCCCAGCACAGUGGGUUAAAGGAUCCAGUGUUGUCGCAGAUGUGGCUUGGAUCUGACCCCUGGCCCUGGAACUCCGUAUGCUGAGGGGUGGCUGAAAAAGAAGCAAAAUAAAACAAACAAAUAAAAUCAAAAUAGAAAUCUAAAUGUAAACUCAAAAUAGAAACUAGCAAAUAGAAAAUCUUCAAAAAGGCUGUUUUCUUAAAAUUUUAAAAUUCGGAGUUAAAUUGAGCACAUACAUGUUAGGCAUAAUCCACACAAAACUUGAAAAUAAGAUUUUAUAAAUUCUGUACUUAUUGAAGCUUUAAUUAUGAACAAAAUAAGAAAAUGAACAAGACAAUUGUUCUAGUCCAAUAGAGAACUUGAAUUUGGAUACAUCAUCAGAUGAAAUUCUUGCGACUGAAGAAUAUUCAAGAAUUCAUAUUCAAGAAUAGUCAACAUUCUUCAUUAAAUGACAUGCAAAGAUGCUUAUUCAUAUCAACAUCACAACCCAGAAACAUCAAAUGCAACUCUGUGUGUUCCUUUAAAUGAUGAAGAAACAACAUGCAUGCCCUGCCAAUGGGAUGAGAAAGAUGAACUCUCUAGAGCUUUACUGUUUAUUAGAUGAUUAUCUUGGAAAAUAGCCCAUGUGGCUUUUUGACAGCGUGAGAAUGUUUCUUGCAAAACAUAUUCUGAUGCAAGUAAAUUAUUUUGAUUUUCCAUUGCCUGAAUAUCACAGAAAAUUUAACACUUCAUUUUAUAUCAAAAUUCAUUCAACUGGAAAAAAAAACUGUGGGAACUGGCUUUUAUAUUCUAAUUUCAAAGACAAAGUACUUUGUUCUUACUGUCAAAUGCAUCACAACCAGGUUUCAAGGUUAGCUUCAAAAUGAAGAUAUUUGCUGCUAAAAAAGCUUGGAGUCUCAAAAGACCACAAAAUGUCAAAUGUACAUACAUAUACAAACACAAAACAAAAUGUGCGAUUUCUAGAGCUUUUGAAACUUUAAACAACAAAAAUUGAUAGUAUUUGGCAAACAAAGUAACACUGAUAUAAGAUGUUAGCAUGAUGUGUUAAAAGAAUAAUAUAUAUUCUCUAUUUAGCCCAAGAUUUUCACAGCACAAACAGUAGAACAUUUACAGAGAGCAAUAGUAAAUUUCUAGUUUUAUUAGAAGUUAUUUAGCAAUUUGAUGCUAUGAUGAGUGAACAUGUAAGUGGAGUGAAAAAUGAAGAGGAAAUUCAAAAUAAGAGUUUAAAAGUCUGUACUUGUAAUAAUGUGGGAAAAUUAAUCAUCUCCCAAGUUAAAAAUCUAAUAAUACAAAUUCCAAUUGCACUGUAUAACAAACAAGUUCUUUUGAAAAAUAAUUUUUAUUGAACAUGUUUUCAAAUUACCCCUCCCCCCCAAAAACCCAACAAAAUUGAAAUUAAAGAUUGCUUAAUUUUUGUAUGUGUUGUAAAACAUGUAAGUUUGGAUUUUAGUGAAGAUACUUUAACAACUUUCUGUUUCUGUCUACACUGGCUGCUGUCCCUCCUUGUUCUCCGAGCGGACAGUACUCCUUUUGGAUCCUAGAUGCCAGUUAAAUAAAUUACAUUUUUGGGGGGUGGUUAAAGAAAUCUCACAAUAUUCAGUGUUAGACAUUGAGUUGAAAGAUGAGGCACAUCUAAGAUAAUGGCAUCAACAUAGUUGGUUUGAAAAACAAGUGCAUAAACUCGAAUUUUGGCCCAAAGUUGUGAUCAUUCUUUGUGCCACACAGUGCAUGAUUUGAAUUUGUCACUUGAAACUUCAGUCUGCUCUGUGUCAGUAGCUCAGUAGUGAAGACACUCUGUGGAACAACUAGAUCAAUAUACUAGGUAUUCUCUAGGUCUGCCUACCACGUAUAAGCUUACCAUUUCACUUAGAUACACAGAGAGAAUGUUAAAUACUGCGACAGCAACUCAAUUUCCUUUAAGCAAGAUACAUGAAGUACCCUAGAAAAGGAAUGCAAAAUAACAGACGAUUCCAAAGGGACAUCAAUCUUUGACAAAGAAAAGUGUUUGGUUAUUUGAUAUGAAGUGUUAUUUGCUACUAGUUAUGGUUAUUAUUUGAUGUGAAGUGUUAUUUGCUACUAAUUAUGUUAGCAAAAACUUACAGGGCAUUCAAACAGAUAUUUUUGAUUCGCUUAAAAAUAAUAGUAUAUAUUUUCUUUCAUUUUGAGAAAAAAAUUUGAUUGAAACUGCAUAGAAAAUAAACAACAAAAGUAACACUCCUAUAAAGGGAAAUGAGAAUGUUUGUUUCUCUAUGAAAAAGAUUCAUGUACCCAUAAUCUCUAAAUCUUUUUCUAUAGAGACUAUUUUCCAAACAAAUUAUAGAUUCAGGUAUAGUCUUGAAUGAAGAGUGUGGUCAAUGAAUUGAGUGAUCUGUUAUUGCUUCUUUUUUUAUUUUUUACUAAUAUUACAACAUUGACAUUUUUUUAAAAAGAAAACUUAAGUACUGUAUAGAUAUUGCCAUAAGAGACCAUGAAAGCUGUCUAAGUGGCAGUGACAUAUGAAAUGACAACAGUUUGUAAUAGAUCCUGUGAUUGUGAUAAUUUAUUAUAUGUAGCACCAUUAAGAUAAUUAAACAUCAUUUGCAAGUCAAUUAUACCUCAUUUUUUUUUUAAAGUUUGAGGAAUCAUAUGUAAAUUUCUUUUUUCAUUCUGAGUGUUGCUUUAAGAAUUGUAUUGACCAUUCCUGUUCACGCUACCUCAGGAGAGUAAAGUUGACCCAGACCGAAUCUAAUUGAAACUGAAAACUACAAUGACUCAAGUAACAUCAUGCAUUACUGUUGAGAGAAUACAAAAUAAUUCAUAUGAUAUCCUGCAUCCCUUUGAUACAAAUCUCUCUAUUACAUGCACCACUUCUCAUGGUGCAUCAAUUGUUUUCUGGGUGCUGGUCCGUGCCAAAGGAACACUAACUCCUCACGAGCGGGGACCGUGACUUUUUCAUGUUUGCUGCUCUGAUGUUUAGCUCAGAGCCUUGGGCCUAGAAGGUACUUCAACAUUUGUUGAAGGAAUGAAUGCAUUCACAAAUAGAUACACUUCUGACAGUUCCAGAAAUGCCAGGAUUCAUGUUACAUGUCAUCUAUCAUACAUAAUAUCAUAUAUUACCUAAUACUAGUAUUUUAUGUUGUCUUGUUCAGUACAAUUCUUUUCUAUCUUACUGUAUCAAAAAGAGCUUUACUUGCCCAUUGAUAUUGAAGUUAAACGCAGUUUACCUUCAUGUUCCUGCUAAAUGUUAACGAUAUGCAAACCCGAAGAAGUUCUGAGUCAAGUGCGGUAUUUCAGAACUUGGAUAGCCUUUUUCUAAUUGAAGUCUUAAAUGACAAAUAUAGCAAUGCGAAUCUUAAGUGCCAGUGAUACAAAAAGUCACAUAAAUAAAACAAAGUUUCUUGCUCCCUCUCUUUAUAUUCCAGGAGGUAACUACACUUAGCAGUUUGAGAGGUUUCCUUCUAGACAUCCAAUUAUUUUUGAUAUCUUUUUUUUUAACAAACACACACACAAACCCACAUACAGAUAAUUUCUUUCCUAUUAACUCAACAAAACAGAGUAAUAUUGGAGUUCCUGUUGUGGCGCAGUGGUUAACGAAUCCAACUAGGAACCAUGAGGUUUUGGGUUUGAUCCCUGCCCUUGCUCAGUGGGUUAAGGAUCCGGCAUUGCUGUGAGCUGUGGUAUAGGUCACAGAUGUGGCUCGGAUCUGGCGUUGCUGUGGCUCUGGCGUAGGCCGAUGCCUACAGCUCUGAUUCAACCCCUAACCUGGGAACCUCCACAUGCCUGAGGGAGCGGCCCUAGAAGAGGCAAAAAGAAAAAAAAAAAAAGAAAGAAAAAAACAGAGGUUUUUAACAUGUUCUCUUCAAGAUAUUCGGACCCUAGCAAAAUAUUUUAAGUUUAUUUUGAUUAUGCAAUUCUUAAUACUUCAUGAAAACAAGACUCAUUCAACUGAGUCUCUCACAGAGAUUUUCUCAUAUUUGUUUUCUUUAGACCAUCUCUUGAAGUUUGUCUUGUUCUUGAAAUUCCUGAUUAUCAAAGCUCAAGUCUCACUGUGAUGUCACUUGGGAAGUCCAGGCUUAUCCAGAUUUUCCAUGGACAGAAAUGGCCCUGGGGAUUUCAAAUCUGCCUCAUUUGGAAAAUUCAGAAAAUUACGUAGCUGUCACAUCAAGAAAACCUUUGAUUUGAAAGUUAAUCAGAAGUCAUUUAUUAACUUUUUUAUACAGUUUUUAAAAGGAACGUGUGUCUAAACAUCUACUUGAAAAAAACUACAAGGCUGAAAAUAACUUUUUCUCACUUAGUUUGGCAGAGAGUUAAGUCACAGUCAAAAAACUAGCAUAUUACUAAUUUAAUAUGAGAUAGUUUUAUUUAGAAGUUGUUUUCAGUAUCUUAUUUUUGCUCAAUUGAGGUCAAAUUAUAACUUCAAGCAAAAUUAUAGUUCUUUAACUCAGGAUUAUUUAGUCCAUUUUCAUUCACAUUAAACAAAGAUAGUUUUUCAGCUGUAUUUUAGGGUGUAGGGGAGAAAAAAAGGUUUUCCUCAGUCCUCUUAGGGCUCUUGGCUUGGUGUGAAAACUAAACUGACAAGACAGAUUAACAGUUAACACUUCUGAUUAAAUUUUUACAUGUACCUGGGAGCUUUCACAAGGGAAUG
rnacentral:lncRNA from 1 species